CCUUCUUCAGACUCAUCACUCCCUAGCUCAGACCUAUAAUUUAUGAAGAACGUCCCCUGUGGGGAAGAAUGUCUCAGCUGUUUAGUAAUAGAAUAUGGAACUUUUACACACAAUGAGCUGUGCUGCUUAGAGCCAAAUGACAGUUCCACUAGGUGAAGGAGGGAAGUGAGAAUUUGUCUUCUUUCCUGAUCCACUGAAAUGGCCAGGUAGGUCCCAGGCAAGGUCAGGAAGGGCCAACCCUUCUUACUUGGAGUAAGCUCAGUUCCAUCUGUAGGGCUGGAUAGAAAUGGCUCCAUAAAAUAUGAACCAGAUGGACUUUCAUUUGAUUUCAUGUCUGUGAUUCUACUGUAGGGGUUCUCAAUUCAGGUCUCUUUGGUCCUCCAGGGGGCAUUUGGAAAAAUUGGAGACAUCAGAGAUUGUAAUGACUGGGGAACUGCUACUGGGAAGAGGCCAAGGACACUGUUUACCAUCCCAUAACCCACAGGGAAGCACUUUCUCCUUAACCUCUACUACGAGGAAUCAUCCAGCCCAGAAAGUCAGUAAUGCUGAGGAUGAGAGGCCUCCCUUUACCAGCUGAUCCUAACAGUUUCUACAUCUCUUCUAAGAUAAGAGUUUCCAGGGCUAUAGAAUUACCUCUUGGUAUCUGUGAGGAAUUGCUUCCAGGACCCCUCAGAAUUCCACACCUUCCAUCAUCGAGUCUGCGAAACCUAUGCAUGUCCUCCUGUAUACUUCACAUCAUCUCCAGGGAUUUUGAAAACAGCAUUAUGAAGUCCCACUUCAGCUGCAUGGAUUCCAGGAUCUCUCAGCCUGGGCCGGCUCCAGGGCACUCUGCCAGAGAAAAUCACUCCAAGCUCAGCCAAUUCAACAUCUAUUUGUGGCGUUCUCCUCU
rnacentral:lncRNA from 1 species